CCCCAAUUAAAAUUCGGAGAAGGGAAGCCAGAGAGAAGCAAGAAACGCAGCGGCGGCGGCGGCGGCGCAAGGAGCACGAGCUCGACGGCGCGAGGAGCUCCAACUCGGCGGCGCGAGGGGCCCUAGCUCGACCGUCGCCACUGCCGUCCCCACCUCUCCCUUCGCUCCUUCUCAGCGCGGGCAAAAUGGCGGACAGAGACGGGGAUUAGGGUUUACGCCGCCGCCACCUCCACCUCCGCCCAGCCCUGCUCCGUCGCCUGCCUCCUCCGCCGGGACUGCACGCAUUCUCCCUGGGCGGGCUCAAGUCUGUCACGGGUAACCUCUCCAUCUCCAUCUCGCCCCGACGCUCGUCUGCUUCCAGUCGCUGCCGGCCCUGUCCGAUCGCUACAUUGCUGAUACUUGCACUGACCAUUUGGAGCUGCUAGCUUGUCUGAAGGCUUCUUCCUCAAGAAGAGUUACUGUACUUGGAGUUUGUGCACCUGGUACCGACUCUGAUCUACGUUUCUUUGGUGAGUGGCUUCACAUAACCAUUGACCCCCC
rnacentral:rRNA from 1 species